UAGUCCACGCCGUAAACGAUGAAUACUAGGUGCUGGGGGCGCUUGUCCCCUCGGUGCCGUAGCUAACGCAUUAAGUAUUCCGCCUGGGGACUACGGUCGCAAGACUAAAACUCAAAGAAAUCGACGGGGGCCCGCACGAGCGGUGGAGGAUGUGGCUUAAUUCGAGGCAACGCGAAGAACCUUAUCCUGGAUUUGACAUGUAUGGAUUAACUCUAUGAAAGUAGAGCCACGCCUUCGGGUGGAACAUACACAGGUGCUGCAUGGCUGUCGUCAGCUCGUGUCGUGAGACGUCGCGUUAAGUCGCUUAACGAGCGCAACCCUUGUCUUCAGUUGCCAGCACGUAGUGGUGGGGACUCUGGAGAGACUGCCGGUGUCAAACCGGAGGAAGGUGGGGACGACGUCAAGUCAUCAUGGCCUUUAUGUCCAGGGCUGCACACGUCCUACAAUGCGGCGUACAAACGGAAGCGAACCCGCGAGGGGAAGCAAAUCUGAAAAAGCGCCGCUCAGUUC
rnacentral:rRNA from 1 species